UUGAAAGGGAAACGAUUGAAGUCAGUCAUGCUGGUGGGAAUCAACUUAGGGGAAACUCUAGGUGCACUUCUUCGCUUGGCAGGUUAACGUCGAUCUUGAAUGCCAUAAAAUAAUUGGGGGAAGGUAGCUCCUUCGGGAGUGUUAUAGCCCUUGAUAGAUGUGAUGUUUGGGGUCGAGGAUUGCAACGGAUACCCUUUGGGGCUAGCCGCCUGAUCUCUAAUCGGUGUUGGGUUACGGAUAGCAUGCUGACCGUGAUCUAAUUACUGGUUAAAAGGUUAGAGUAUGCAUAAAUUCGUUAAGGAUGUUGACGUA
rnacentral:rRNA from 1 species